AUUUUAUUUGCUUUCUUGAAAAAAAUGAACUUUUUUUUGGUCUUCUGCAAGUAUUUCAAUGAUUGUUUGAUUUAGUAACUUAGGGCUAUCUUACUUCUCUUCAAGUCUGUGAAAAUGUGCUGGUGGCUUUCAAUGGAGAAGAAUCAAACCUGUUGGCCUUCAUCUUGGAAAGCUGUAUGCACUUGCUUUUGCAAUCCGCUCACAGACUCAAGAUGAAGAUUUAGGGCCAAUAUUGGCAAGCCCCAUAGCAGGAGGAGGAAGGAAGAAGGAACAGACCUGACAUGAGCUACUGAGCUGGAAGCUAUGCUAGACCAGACACUAAGGAUCUGCUGGUGAUGAAUCUAUGUGUCUAAGAAGCAGCAGAGUCAAAGUCAUAGACUGGUAAAUACCUGCCACUAUCUUUCUAUCUGUUACUGAAGAGAUGACAUCAAUUAUGGGAACAUGUCCCAG
rnacentral:lncRNA from 1 species